UACGUAGGGUCCGAGCGUUGUCCGGAAUUAUUGGGCGUAAAGAGCUCGUAGGCGGUUUGUCGCGUCUGCUGUGAAAACUGGAGGCUCAACCUCCAGCCUGCAGUGGGUACGGGCAAACUAGAGUGCGGUAGGGGAGAUUGGAAUUCCUGGUGUAGCGGUGGAAUGCGCAGAUAUCAGGAGGAACACCGAUGGCGAAGGCAGAUCUCUGGGCCGUAACUGACGCUGAGGAGCGAAAGCGUGGGGAGCGAACAGG
rnacentral:rRNA from 1 species